rnacentral:rRNA from 1 species
ACGAACGCUGGCGGCACGCUUAACACAUGCAAGUCGAACGAGAGAAGAGGAGCUUGCUUUUCUGAUCUAGUGGCGGACGGGUGAGUAACACGUGAGCAAUCUGCCUUUCAGAGGGGGAUACCGAUUGGAAACGAUCGUUAAUACCGCAUAACAUAAUUGAACCGCAUGAUUUGAUUAUCAAAGAUUUAUCGCUGAAAGAUGAGCUCGCGUCUGAUUAGCUAGUUGGUAAGGUAACGGCUUACCAAGGCGACGAUCAGUAGCCGGACUGAGAGGUUGAUCGGCCACAUUGGGACUGAGACACGGCCCAGACUCCUACGGGAGGCAGCAGUGGGGAAUAUUGCACAAUGGAGGAAACUCUGAUGCAGCGAUGCCGCGUGAGGGAAGAAGGUUUUAGGAUUGUAAACCUCUGUCUUCAGGGACGAAAAAUGACGGUACCUGAGGAGGAAGCUCCGGCUAACUACGUGCCAGCAGCCGCGGUAAUACGUAGGGAGCGAGCGUUGUCCGGAAUUACUGGGUGUAAAGGGAGCGUAGGCGGGAUCGCAAGUCAGAUGUGAAAACUAUGGGCUUAACCCAUAAACUGCAUUUGAAACUGUGGUUCUUGAGUGAAGUAGAGGUAAGCGGAAUUCCUAGUGUAGCGGUGAAAUGCGUAGAUAUUAGGAGGAACAUCAGUGGCGAAGGCGGCUUACUGGGCUUUAACUGACGCUGAGGCUCGAAAGCGUGGGGAGCAAACAGGAUUAGAUACCCUGGUAGUCCACGCAGUAAACGAUGAUAACUCGCUGUCGGCGAUACACAGUCGGUGGCUAAGCGAAAGCGAUAAGUUAUCCACCUGGGGAGUACGUUCGCAAGAAUGAAACUCAAAGGAAUUGACGGGGGCCCGCACAAGCAGUGGAGUAUGUGGAUUAAUUCGAAGCAACGCGAAGAACCUUACCAGGUCUUGACAUCGUAUGCAUAGCUCAGAGAUGAGUGAAAUCUCUUCGGAGACAUAUAGACAGGUGGUGCAUGGUUGUCGUCAGCUCGUGUCGUGAGAUGUUGGGUUAAGUCCCGCAACGAGCGCAACCCUUACUGUUAGUUGCUACGCAAGAGCACUCUAGCAGGACUGCCGUUGACAAAACGGAGGAAGGUGGGGAUGACGUCAAAUCAUCAUGCCCCUUAUGACCUGGGCCUCACACGUACUACAAUGGCUGUCAACAGAGGGAAGCAAAGCCGCGAGGUGGAGCAAACCCCUAAAAGCAGUCUUAGUUCGGAUUGUAGGCUGCAACCCGCCUACAUGAAGUCGGAAUUGCUAGUAAUCGCAGAUCAGCAUGCUGCGGUGAAUACGUUCCCGGGCCUUGUACACACCGCCCGUCACGCCAUGGGAGUCGGUAACACCCGAAGCCUGUAGUCUAACCGCAAGGAGGACGCAGUCGAAGGUGGGAUUGAUGACUGGGGUG